rnacentral:rRNA from 1 species
CCUACGGGAGGCAGCAGUGGGGAAUAUUGGGCAAUGGAGGCAACUCUGACCCAGCAACGCCGCGUGAGUGAUGAAGGUCUUCGGAUUGUAAAACUCUUUAAGUGGGGACGAAGAAAGUGACUGUACCCACAGAAUAAGCCUCGGCUAACUACGUGCCAGCAGCCGCGGUAAUACGUAGGGGGCAAGCGUUAUCCGGAUUUACUGGGUGUAAAGGGAGCGUAGACGGCGCUGCAAGUCCGGAGUGAAAGCCCAUGGCUUAACCAUGGUACUGCUCUGGAAACUGUAGAGCUUGAGUGCGGGAGGGGCAGGCGGAAUUCCUAGUGUAGCGGUGAAAUGCGUAGAUAUUAGGAGGAACACCGGCGGCGAAGGCGGCCUGCUGGACCGUAACUGACGUUGAGGCUCGAAAGCGUGGGGAGCAAACAGGAUUAGAUACCCUGGUAGUC